GAGACAGCAGCAGCCGCGGGAAUACAGAGGCCUCAAGCGUUGUUCGGAUUCAUUGGGCGUAAAGGGAGCGUAGGCGGUCGGGUAAGCCGGAUGUGAAAUCUUGGGGCUCAACCUCAAAACUGCAUUCGAUACUGCUUGGCUAGAGGAGUGGAGGGGAGAUUAGAAUUCACGGUGUAGCAGUGAAAUGCGUAGAUAUCGUGAGGAAGACCAGUGGCGAAGGCGGAUCUCUGGACAUUUCCUGACGCUGAUGCUCGAAGGCCAGGGGAGCAAACGGGAUUAGAUACCCCUGUAGUCCCUGUCUCUUAUAC
rnacentral:rRNA from 1 species